GACGAACGCUGGCGGCGUGCUUAACACAUGCAAGUCGAACGAAGAGCGACGGAAGCUUGCUUCUAUCAAUCUUAGUGGCGAACGGGUGAGUAACGCGUAAUCAACCUGCCCUUCAGAGGGGGACAACAGUUGGAAACGACUGCUAAUACCGCAUACGAUCUAACCUCGGCAUCGAGGAUAGAUGAAAGGUGGCCUCUACAUGUAAGCUAUCACUGGAGGAGGGGAUUGCGUCUGAUUAGCUAGUUGGAGGGGUAACGGCCCACCAAGGCGAUGAUCAGUAGCAGGUCGGAGAGGAUGAACGGCCACAUUGGGACUGAGACACGGCCCAGACUCCUACGGGAGGCAGCAGUGGGGAAUCUUCCGCAAUGGACGAAAGUCUGACGGAGCAACGCCGCGUGAGUGAUGACGGCCUUCGGGUUGUAAAGCUCUGUUAAUCGGGACGAAAGGCCUUCUUGCGAAUAGUGAGAAGGAUUGACGGUACCGGAAUAGAAAGCCACGGCUAACUACGUG
rnacentral:rRNA from 1 species